ensembl:misc_RNA Y_RNA Y RNA
GGCUGGUUUCAGUGCAGUGGUGUUAACAACUAAUUGAUCACAACCACUAUAGAUUUCUUUAUUCCUUUUCCAUUCCCACUGGUUCACUUAGCUAGCCUUUC